CAGUACAAACAAUGGACAGGAGCACACUUCUCUGAACUGCAGUUUCUUUCCUCUCUCUGAAGCAGAAGCCAUACACCUAAUGUGAGAGCACAGUUUCAAAGCAAACUUAAACUAAGUAUUUUUAAUAUAUUUUUUCCUGCAGCAACUUCAGCUUCUACAGCAAGAGCAGCUUCAGCCCCCUCCUUUCAGAAGAAAAGUGAUAUGGUAACUAGAGCUGAAGCAAAGUGCUUCACGACAGUUUAAGUGCUGCCUGCCUCAACAUCCUCAGCUUUACAAGUGUCAGAAGGGAAACAUCAAAACUGAGAAAUGGGCUAACCAAUCUGUGCUGCUUUAUCAUCAACACAGGGGACAGCAACUUCCCUUCUAAGCUGUACAAUAAAACUUGAACAGAGAAUCUGAAGCAACCGUUGGAACUAAUUCUCCAUUUAAAUGCUAUCAAGCAAAGUCAGAAUCACUCAUAUCUGGAAGCAAAUACUGGAGUAUUUUCUGCAUUAGAGAAAGGCUUCAAAGUAUGUGAAUUCUGGGCACAGCUCAGCAUCACUAGCAAACAUGCUGCAAAAGAACAACAGCUAUGGAGUCCAUGGACAGUGAGAGCUACUUAAGCAUACUAGGUAUCACAUACCUGCCUGUGUCUUCUCCACCUGGCAUUCUCUAGCCAUAGCCUGAGAGAUUUGCGUAGCAAAAUUAUUCUGAAAUAAAACAUAAUAAAAAGUCA